rnacentral:tRNA from 1 species
UAUUAAUUACUUUGGCAGAAUAGUGUAAUAAAUUUAGAAUUUAUAAAUGUAAUUUUUUUACAAGUAAUA